CGUCGCUUAAACAAAUCGCAGCUGUCAACAAGUGAAAGGGGAUUAAAAAUGAGAUACCGUAUCGAAAACCCCAGGACAUUCUCCUCGCAUAAAACUUAAGCGAAUUUCCGCCAAGAGCGCUAGCUGUACAUCGUGACGUCAUGCGCUGUAGAACAUGCGUAGUCGACGACUGGAAGAAACAGCCAGCUACAUGACCAUACUUAUCGGAGCCCCUGUAGAAUUUUCCAUUAGAUGCAAUACGUAUGAUAUUUCUAUCGAGGCCCGGCACCCGGUGACUCUUACGUUCGACGUUCCUGCGAUAGGGCUGCUGACGUCAAAAUGCUGCUGCAGUCUCUGCUGUGCAGGGACUUCCGAAGAACGGUACAACCACGGCGAUUACGUCACAAGUGCUACGUCACAACUAUUGCCCUUGCGUGUCGCUACGUGGCAGCCCAGUCAACCCGUGCUUUUUUUAAACGUACCAUACCUCCUUAAGGUGAAAU